AGAGUUUGAUCAUGGCUCAGAUUGAACGCUGGCGGCAUGCCUCAUACAUGCAAGUCGAACGGUAACAUAGGAGCUUGCUCCUGAUGACGAGUGGCGGACGGGUGAGUAAUGCAUAAGAAUCUGCCUAUUAGCGGGGGACAACGUGUGGAAACGCACGCUAAUACCGCAUACAUCCUACGGGGAAAAGGUUGCCUCUUCAUGAAAGCAAUCGCUAAUAGAUGAGCUUAUGUCAGAUUAGCUAGUUGGUAGGGUAAGAGCCUACCAAGGCGACGAUCUGUAGCCGGCCUGAGAGGGUGAACGGCCACACUGGGACUGAGACACGGCCCAGACUCCUACGGGAGGCAGCAGUAGGGAAUAUUGGACAAUGGGGGCAACCCUGAUCCAGCAAUGCCGCGUGUGUGAAGAAGGCCUGCGGGUUGUAAAGCACUUUCAGUAGGGAGGAAAUACUUAAAGUUAAUAGCUUUAAGAGUUGACGUUACCUACAGAAGAAGCACCGGCUAACUCUGUGCCAGCAGCCGCGGUAAUACAGAGGGUGCGAGCGUUAAUCGGAAUUACUGGGCGUAAAGGGUACGUAGGCGGCUACUUAAGUCUGAUGUGAAAUCCCCGUGCUUAA
rnacentral:rRNA from 1 species